CUUCCGUAGGGGUGACCUGCGGAAGGAUCAUUACUGAGUGAGGGCCCUCUGGGUCCAACCUCCCACCCGUGUUUAUUGUACCUUGUUGCUUCGGUGCGCCCGCCUCACGGCCGCCGGGGGGCUUCUGCCCCCGGGUCCGCGCGCACCGGAGACACCAUUGAACUCUGUCUGAAGAUUGCAGUCUGAGCAUAAACUAAAUAAGUUAAAACUUUCAACAACGGAUCUCUUGGUUCCGGCAUCGAUGAAGAACGCAGCGAAAUGCGAUAACUAAUGUGAAUUGCAGAAUUCAGUGAAUCAUCGAGUCUUUGAACGCACAUUGCGCCCCCUGGUAUUCCGGGGGGCAUGCCUGUCCGAGCGUCAUUGCUGCCCUCAAGCACGGCUUGUGUGUUGGGCUCCGUCCCCCCGGGGACGGGUCCGAAAGGCAGCGGCGGCACCGAGUCCGGUCCUCGAGCGUAUGGGGCUUUGUCACCCGCUCUGUAGGCCCGGCCGGCGCCAGCCGACAACCAAUCAUCCUUUUUUCAGGUUGACCUCGGAUCAGGUAGACCCGAUCCC
rnacentral:rRNA from 1 species